rnacentral:lncRNA from 10 species
AAACACUGAGGACAGAAGGCCACCGUCUCCCACAGGUGGAAUGUACCAGAGACCCAGCUGUGAGGCAAUUGAUGACCAUCAUAAGUGGUUUAGAAACUCCAGAAGAUGUAUGAAGAAGUUGUCAAAGCCUUUACAGUGAAGAUGUUUCUGACUUCACUCACAGAAGUGCCUGCUGAUUUUAAUUUGCUCCAAGACUCCCAAGAACUCCAGGGCUCCCACUUUCCCCAUUCUGUGGGACUCCUUAGGGCCCAGAAGAGUGUGCUGUGCAAAGUUGGCUUUUAGAAAACUGGCUAGCUAGCUUG